rnacentral:rRNA from 1 species
AUUGAACGCUGGCGGCAUGCCUUACACAUGCAAGUCGAACGGCAGCGGGGGAGAAGCUUGCUUUUCCUGCCGGCGAGUGGCGAACGGGUGAGUAAUACAUCGGAACGUGCCCUGUAGUGGGGGAUAACUAGUCGAAAGAUUAGCUAAUACCGCAUACGACCUGAGGGUGAAAGUGGGGGACCGCAAGGCCUCAUGCUAUAGGAGCGGCCGAUGUCUGAUUAGCUAGUUGGUGGGGUAAAGGCCUACCGAGGCGACGAUCAGUAGCUGGUCUGAGAGGACGAUCAGCCACACUGGGACUGAGACACGGCCCAGACUCCUACGGGAGGCAGCAGUGGGGAAUUUUGGACAAUGGGCGAAGGCCUGAUCCAGCAAUGCCGCGUGUGUGAAGAAGGCCUUCGGGUUGUAAAGCACUUUUGUCCGGAACGAAAAGGUUUCUACUAAUACUAGGAGCUCAUGACGGUACUGUAAGAAUAAGCACCGGCUAACUACGUGCCAGCCGCCGCCGUAA